AAAAACCUCUCCUCUACUGCCUCCAGGCUCGCGAAUGACCGCAUAAUGGAGAAAAAAAGCAUGGUCGCCGCCGCCGCUUCGGACUCAAGGGUGCAGAGCCCGAUGGCUCCGGAGGGCUGCGGGGAGAAGGGGAGCAGCUUCCUGCCGGGCAAGCCGAUCUGGGAGGACGCUGGCGGUGGCGCUGGGGUGGGCAACGGGAGAAGGACGCCGACUCGCGGUACCGCACCUGCUGCUUCGCGGUCAUCGACCACCGCGUCGCGCACGAGAAGCCGCCGCUCGACGCCGUCAAGUAUCACCCCCGAGCACUAGCUCGUGAUCCGCGCGGAGAGCCCAGCCGUCGAGCAAGAUCCCCUCGGCAGCCUCCUGCUCCUCGCCGGCGAGGUCCUCGGACGAGCAACCAAGUCCAGGACGGACACGCCCUUUAGGGUUAUUAAUCGUAUUUUUUAUCGCUCGACAGAGCUUGUGCAUAUCGCCAGGAUUUGAGUAUUCAGAUAAAUAGAGGCACUAUUUGAACUCAAUUUUGUCAUGGUUUACAGUCAGGGAACUAUCAUGGAUGAAAUGGUGUCAAUACACCGAAUUAACAAGUUCAGGCACAAACUGAAAGAAUGCUUCAUCUAGCGAUUGCAUGUUUCCCUUCUCGAUGCUAGCGGCCGUCAACACCGAAGACCGGCAAGAUUUGAUUUUGGCCAGAUGGACAGGACGUCGAUCCCGGGGGACACGAUCGACUACGUGAAGGAGCUGUUGGAGAGGAUACAACGGCUGCAGUUGGAGUUAUAGGAGUCACGCUGCUGUGGGUAUGGCUGCCGAGUGUGUUCCAGCAGCAGAACCCCAACGAGAUGCUGGCCAGGAAAAGCUCCAAGGCUAUUAGACAUGCUCAUUUGAAGAUUGAGUUAUCAAUAUCAAUUAUGGUUACCUAUCGGCGUCUAAUCAGGUCUGCAAGGUAGUGUUAUUUCUCUUCUAUUUUUGUGAUUCUUCAUAUGGCAGAAAAUGGUAUGGUCAGCUUAUAUCAUAAAUCCCAUAAGAAGGACUACAUGAUAUGAUAUCAUAUGAUUCUUAUAUCAGCUCUGUUGUGUUUUCCAUUAUUUUUCUAAUGUAGAAAGCUAUUGUUGUGCACAAAUGUUGGUACAGUAGACAUUCUAUCGGGUGUGUGUGUAUGUGUUCCCUUAGUAACAGUGAGUAUAUAUCUGAACCAUCAUUCCGUUUUACUGCUGGAAACAUUGGUCCCACUCCACAUAAUCCGUCUAAGCCUAAUGUAUUUUUCCUAAUAUUUAUUGUAGUAUUAACCCAUUAACCGUGAGAAGGGUAUAUUUCAUCUUUACAAGUUCCAUCAGUAUUAGUUCUCCAUUUUACAUCAAAAAGUGUAAGCGUACAGACAGAAUACAUCAUCCAUAUGCAUCAUUUAUCCAUUUGUUUUCUUUUAAGGUUAUGAUGCUGUCCCUUGGAAAGAAAAUUCAAAAUCCAUAUCCACAAUGUUCCAAACAUUAAGGUGAACAUGUACAGAGCAUUUUUCUGAAUUUGUAUGUAUAGAAGUGUUUCUCAUCAAGUUCAGUCGGUAAGGUGUUUGUAUUUAUUUAUACCACAGCUCUAUUGUAGUAGAUAUACAGCUCAAUAUUUUGAGCUUACUUAUGGAGAUUAGCUUCUAUAUGUGGUACAAGUUAAUUCAAUCCAGCUCAGCCGUCGUAGGCAUUCUGGCAGGUGUGUUGUUCGGAGGAGGGGCCAGAUGUCCUAAACAGGAGAUGAGAGUGAAAUACUUCGAUAUUUAUCACAUUAUUUUUCAGCUGAUCGCUAAUUUCCGGGACCGAGUUUCAAGCUUUGCAUUGAUCUCUAUUUGGUUUGCUGCACUUAUGUCAUCUACAAUUUGCAGAUAUUCUCACAAUUUUUUGUGUUAUGAUUAGGAGUAUGGUCUUGGGAAGCAUACAAGUGUCCUGAAGUAAGCAUUGUGCACAGGCCGUUCAGGGUACCACACUACUAUUUUGCUUGCAUGUUCAUACGAGUAUUGAUGAAUGAAAUAUAGCUUCAAGAGUGCCUCUUCUAUAAACAGAAUAUCAAAUUGGUUGUUUAAUGUGCUCCUCUGUAAUUAGAAAGUUAAUCAUGUGUUAGCUAAAUAUGUGCAUUGCAAAGUGUACUUACCCUUUCUUCUUUUGAUAAUGGGCUGCAAACAUUUCCAAUUUUGAUGUCCUUCUAUUCUGGGAAUUUUCCUCAUCAAAUGCACUCUAUUUUUCUCUAUGUAGAUUAAUCUACCAUGAACUCUCUUAUGAGAUUAUUCUAUUUAGUAUUGACCAACAGAUAAGUCAUGGUUGAUCUUUAUGGAAUCGUUACUAAGUUUUAUCCAUCACAUGAAGAGGUUGAUGAUCUCUUCCUGUCCGUGAAGCAAAUUACUUCCUCAGUAAAAGUAAUAUAAGAGAGCUCAGCAGUUUUUGUCUCAACUAGCUACUACCACUGUGUACCGUAGUACCAUAUAUUUCUUAUGCAUGUACCGACAAGAUGUACUCUUCCUCUGUAUAAACCACUUUGCUACAAAUCAAGUCUUUGCAUGAACUACCAAAUCUUACAAAAGAAAGAACAAGUAUUUUACCAAUCCUUAUGGCACGGCAUGCAACCACACAACUACAACGCCCCGAGGACAAUGUACAAGAGUUGCUCAGCCGCACAAGAAUGGAAGAAGAAUUAGAAAUACAGAACAACAAAAAGCAAGCCACACAAUGACCAACGAAGAAGAAUUAGAAAUACAAAAUAAUGAAAAGAGACUGGAGCAAGACCAAGGAAGAAGAAUUAGAAAUACAGAGCAACAAAAGGCAAGCCUUCGGCAAGAAAGGUCUAUGCAAACAAGGAUCCUCAAAAAAAAUUGUCUAUGAAGUCAGUCCAUCGAGAGCUAGGACGUGCAUCCAAAAACAACUUCAACAUUGUCUACCCAGCAAACAAACCACCAAGAAAGAGUAGAAGAACUAGCUUCAUCUCUCUAGCAGUACAUCACAUAGGCAAACUAAGCCGGAGGAUCAACAUCACAGGUUUUCAGGUCUGAGAAAAGAACAACAGCUUUGCAAUUAUAUGCAUCCAGUACCCAUUAUCACUACAUGUUGUAGAUCACUUGUAGAUGUACCAACUAGAUGUACCU